UGGGGAAUAUUGCACAAUGGGGGAAACCCUGAUGCAGCAACGCCGCGUGAGUGAAGAAGGUCUUCGGAUCGUAAAGCUCUGUCUUUGGGGACGAUAAUGACGGUACCCAAAGAGGAAGCCACGGCUAACUACGUGCCAGCAGCCGCGGUAAUACGUAGGUGGCAAGCGUUGUCCGGAAUUAUUGGGCGUAAAGGAUGCGUAGGCGGAUAUAUAAGUCAGAUGUGAAAUACCCGAGCUCAACUUGGGUACUGCAUUUGAAACUGUAUGUCUAGAGUGCGGGAGAGGAAAGUGGAAUUCCUAGUGUAGCGGUGAAAUGCGUAGAGAUUAGGAAGAACACCGGUGGCGAAGGCGACUUUCUGGACCGUAACUGACGCUGAGGCAUGAAAGCGUGGGUAGCAAACA
rnacentral:rRNA from 1 species